UCGUUGCUCCUCUGCUCCUCUAUUUCUCCAUCACGAACAGAGUAGCUAAGUGAAACAAUUAUGGUUUAACUUUUGUAUUUGUGUCUUUAUGCAUCCGACCUGUUCCACGAAAUGCUUCAUCCAUCUAAGAAAAUCAAGUUGCUGAAUCGAGCUUUGCGAGAAAAUGAAAGUCUAGUUCUCCAUGGUGAAGCUCUAAAGCACUCUUGUGGAUCUUCAUGGCUGCUCAAUUUCUAGGGUUCUUCAUCAUCAAUGUGCCUAUAUCAUUGGUUACAUUGCUUUGCUACUAUGACUCAUCUAUGCACUUGUCACCAUGUGUUAUGGAGAGAUGUUUGACUUCAUAGAAAAGCAAGUUGAAGAUAGAAAUUAAAGGAAAUCAG